CCUACGGGAGGCAGCAGUGGGGAAUAUUGCACAAUGGGCGAAAGCCUGAUGCAGCAACGCCGCGUGAGCGAUGAAGGCCUUCGGGUCGUAAAGCUCUGUCCUCAAGGAAGAUAAUGACGGUACUUGAGGAGGAAGCCCCGGCUAACUACGUGCCAGCAGCCGCGGUAAUACGUAGGGGGCUAGCGUUAUCCGGAAUUACUGGCCGUAAAGGGUGCGUAGGUGGUUUCUUAAGUCAGAGGUGAAAGGCUACGGCUCAACCGUAGUAAGCCUUUGAAACUGGGGAACUUGAGUGCAGGAGAGGAGAGUGGAAUUCGUAGUGUAGCGGUGAAAUGCGGAGAUAUUAGGAGGAACUCCGAUUGCGAAGGCAGCUCACUGGACUGCAACUGACACUGAGGCUCGAAAGUGUGGGUAUCAAACAGGAUUAGAUACCCCUGUAGUC
rnacentral:rRNA from 1 species